AUGUUUGCAGGAAAGAGUGGAGGAAGCUGUAUGUUUCUGUUAGGAAAGCUGUGAAGUCAGUCUGGUGCUGGAACCGAGCUUGAAGUGUAGUGACCUCGGUUAUAAGAAGCAUUGAACAGCGGAGUAUAAAUGUUCAUUUAGCUGAGGAAUUGUUUUCAGCUUUCAUAAGAUGUGGACUGUGUUUAUACUGAACUUUUCAGCUGGCAGUGGCACUAAGAGCAAGGCUGUGGCAAGCUUCCAGAGGCUGUUCUGUUUCAUAUGCUGCAGAAAACCUUGGCCGAAACAGUUCUGCCCUAGUGACACUGUUGGCACCUUCACCUGUUCUUCUCUUCCUAGUUUCUGUCUCACCUGCACCCGAAGGUUGUUCCCCUGAGGACAGUGAGGAGGAAUAGAGGAACAGUCUCAGGCCUUGUAACCAGCUACGUGAUUACUUUCAAGAGAACACAUCGAAUUGUAACUCAAAGACAGUACCUGUACUGUCUCACACAUGUUUCCCAGGCUGUGAAGGGAAGAAAAUCUCAACUCGUGUCUUGGUAAAAUCAAUGCUGGGGUUGUAGACCUGCAAAGGGAUGAGUAUGAGGUAGUGGUAGUAGAUGAUCUUUCUCUUCUAUUGCCCUACCUUCCUCUUGGUGUAUGUUAUAAUUACUAAAUAUUUGCUCAAGCCUCAGCUUCAAUACUAUACUGUGAAAUAGAGGUAAAGUUUAUUUUAAAAUUCAGCUUUGUCCCCAUCUGAUGUAGUUUGAGCUGGAUGGAAGAAAGCUCAUCCACUAGUUGUAUGAGUCAUCUGUGGUUUCAUGUGCUUUUAUAUUGAGUUCACGUACUUGACAGUGGUAUCUCUCAAGAGGUAAUGCUUGCAUUGUAAGCUGAUAUGAUUAUAUACAUAUGCUCAUAGCUCUGAAUAAAAAUUCCUGUGGAAGUGCCAGAGGAAAGAA
ensembl:lncRNA